CAAAAGAUUGAUCUUUGUGCCAUCAAAUAAGCUGUAAACUUCCAAACUCUCUCUGUCUCUCUCUCUGUCUCUCUCUCUCUUUCUCUGUCUCUGUCUUUCCAGGUUUUAUGAACCAUCCUCCGUAGGCAUCAAAAAAUCAGCCACUUAUUAGGCAAGACCUUGGUAACUGCUUUGCUCUUCCAAACACUUUUUGUUCAAUCGUUUCUCAUUACGCUGCUACCAGGGAGCGUUUAAGGCACUUGCCAUGACUUCAAAUCCUCAUCCUCGGAAUCGCUGCCAUGGAGCCAGGGACAAGGCCGUAACCUUCAACUCUGUAUACAACCUUCAUGUUGCUUGCGAUAUAAUGGAUCUGCCAAACGUCAGGAUUUCAAUCCUCAUAAUAUCCAACAUCUGAAAGACCUGUACCAUCAAGAACAUCCUGACAGGAGGCAUCACAGCCUGGUUCCUGGAGCUCUCUGACCUGCAGUUGAUCUAUAACUGAUUCCUGGACCAAGGCCAGGAAGAGAGCGAAGACCUCAGCUAGCCAAAUCGCUGGCAGGGAAGCAGUUCCUCUUACUGAGGAUUAGGAGAUGCUUCUUCCCACAGGCCAUUCAGAUCAUCAACCAGCACAUAAGACUAAAGCUUGGAUUUUUCCGGAAUAUUCUGCAUAACAUCCACUACCACAAACUGAUUCUCUCAGAAUAUACAAUCAAAUUGUUUCACCCACUGAUCUCUAUUCAAAUAUUUUUCUCUUUCAGGUAAAUUCUAUCUUUAAUGUAAAUGCUAUUCUUCUUCUUCUUCUUCUUCUUCUUCUU